rnacentral:rRNA from 1 species
GACGAACGCUGGCGGCGCGCCCCCUUCAUGCAAGUCGAACGAGCGAGAGAGAGCUUGCUUUCUCGAGCGAGUGGCGAACGGGUGAGUAACGCGUGAGGACCCUGCCUCAAAGAGGGGGACAACAGUUGGAAACGACUGCUAAUACCGCAUAAGCCCACAGGUCGGCAUCGACCAGAGGGAAAAGGAGCAAUCCGCUUUGAGAUGGCCUCGCGUCCGAUUAGCUAGUUGGUGAGGUAACGGCCCACCAAGGCAACGAUCGGUAGCCGGACUGAGAGGUUGAACGGCCACAUUGGGACUGAGACACGGCCCAAACUCCUACGGGAGGCAGCAGUGGGGAAUAUUGCACAAUGGGGGAAACCCUGAUGCAGCGACCCCGCGGGGAGGAAGAAGGUCUUCGGAUUGUAAACUCCUGUUGUUGAGGAAGAUAAUGACGGUACUCAACAAGGAAGUGACGGCUAACUACGUG